rnacentral:rRNA from 1 species
AUUGAACGCUGGCGGCAGGCCUAACACAUGCAAGUCGAGCGGAUGACGGGAGCUUGCUCCUUGAUUCAGCGGCGGACGGGUGAGUAAUGCCUAGGAAUCUGCCUGGUAGUGGGGGACAACGUUUCGAAAGGAACGCUAAUACCGCAUACGUCCUACGGGAGAAAGCAGGGGACCUUCGGGCCUUGCGCUAUCAGAUGAGCCUAGGUCGGAUUAGCUAGUUGGUGGGGUAAUGGCUCACCAAGGCGACGAUCCGUAACUGGUCUGAGAGGAUGAUCAGUCACACUGGAACUGAGACACGAUCCAGACUCCUACGGGAGGCAGCAGUGGGGAAUAUUGGACAAUGGGCGAAAGCCUGAUCCAGCCAUGCCGCGUGUGUGAAGAAGGUCUUCGGAUUGUAAAGCACUUUAAGUUGGGAGGAAGGGCAGUAAGCUAAUACCUUGCUGUUUUGACGUUACCGACAGAAUAAGCACCGGCUAACUCUGUGCCAGCCGCCGCGGUAAUAC